AUUGAACGCUAGCGGGAUGCCUUACACAUGCAAGUCGAACGGAGUGGCGAACGGGUGAGUAAUGUAUCGGAACGUGCCCAGUAGCGGGGGAUAACUACGCGAAAGCGUAGCUAAUACCGCAUACAUUUGGAGCGGCCGAUAUCGGAUUAGCUAGUGGGAGGGGCAACGGCUGACAAAGGCGGCGAUCCGUAGCUGGUUUGAGAGGACGACCAGCCCCACUGGGCCUGAGACACGGCCCAGACUCCUACGGUAGGCAGCAGUGGGGAAUUUUGGACAAUGGGGGAAACCCUGAUCCAGCCAUGCCGCGUGUAUGAAGAAGGCCUUAGGGUUGUAAAGUACUUUCAGCGGGGAGGCGUUACCCGCAGAAGAAGCACCGGCUAACUCCGUGCCAGCAGCCGCGGUAAUUC
rnacentral:rRNA from 1 species